rnacentral:rRNA from 1 species
CACGAACGCUGGCGGCGGGCUUAACACAUGCAAGUCGAGCGCCCCGCAAGGGGAGCGGCAGACGGGUGAGUAACGCGUGGGAAUCUACCCAUCUCUACGGAAUAACGCAUGGAAACGUGUGCUAAUACCGUAUACGUCCUUCGGGAGAAAGAUUUAUCGGAGAUGGAUGAGCCCGCGUUGGAUUAGCUAGUUGGUGGGGUAUAGGCCUACCAAGGCGACGAUCCAUAGCCGGUCUGAGAGGAUGAUCAGCCACACUGGGACUGAGACACGGCCCAGACUCCUACGGGAGGGAGCAGUGGGGAAUAUUGGACAAUGGGCGCAAGCCUGAUCCAGCCAUGCCGCGUGAGUGAUGAAGGCCCUAGGGUUGUAAAGCUCUUUCACCGGUGAAGAUAAUGACGGUAACCGGAGAAGAAGCCCCGGCUAACUUCGUGCCAGCCGCCGCCGUAACAC